AGAGUUUGAUCCUGGCUCAGGAUGAACGCUAGCUACAGGCUUAACACAUGCAAGUCGAGGGGCAUCGGGGGAGAGCUUCGGCUUUCCCGCCGGCGACCGGCGCACGGGUGAGUAACGCGUAUCCAACCUGCCCAUGGCUGGGGGAUAACCUUGCGAAAGCAAGCCUAAUACCCCAUGGCCUCAUCCCGGGGCAUCCCGGUUUGAGUAAAGGAUUCCCGGCCAUGGAUGGGGAUGCGUCCGAUUAGCUUGCCGGUGGGGUGACGGCCCACCGGGGCGACGAUCGGUAGGGGUUCUGAGAGGAAGGUCCCCCACACUGGAACUGAGACACGGUCCAGACUCCUACGGGAGGCAGCAGUGAGGAAUAUUGGUCAAUGGGCGCGAGCCUGAACCAGCCAAGUAGCGUGCAGGACGACGGCCCUAUGGGUUGUAAACUGCUUUUGCGCGGGGAUAACUUCCGCCACGUGUGGCGGCUUGCAGGUACCGCGUGAAUAAGGACCGGCUAAUUCCGUGCCAGCAGCCGCGGUAAUACGGAAGGUCCGGGCGUUAUCCGGAUUCAUUGGGUUUAAAGGGAGCGUAGGCCGCGCGUCAAGCGUGCCGUGAAAUGCCGUGGCUCAACCAUGGCACCGCGGCGCGAACUGUCGCGCUUGAGUGGGCUCGAGGCAGGCGGAAUUCGUGGUGUAGCGGUGAAAUGCUUAGAUAUCACGAGGAACCCCGAUUGCGAAGGCAGCCUGCCAGCGCCGCACUGACGCUGAAGCUCGAAGGCGUGGGUAUCGAACAGGAUUAGAUACCCUGGUAGUCCACGCGGUAAACGAUGGACGCUCGCCGUGGGUCCUAUAUGGUUCCGUGGCCAAGCGAAAGCGUUAAGCGUCCCACCUGGGGAGUACGCCGGCAACGGUGAAACUCAAAGGAAUUGACGGGGGCCCGCACAAGCGGAGGAACAUGUGGUUUAAUUCGAUGAUACGCGAGGAACCUUACCCGGGCUUGAACUCGGGAGGAAGGAGGCGGAGACGCCUUCGCCCCUUCGGGGGCCUCCUGGGAGGUGCUGCAUGGUUGUCGUCAGCUCGUGCCGUGAGGUGUCGGCUUAAGUGCCAUAACGAGCGCAACCCCCCUCCACGGUUGCCAUCGGGUGACGCCGGGCACUCCGUGGACACUGCCGCCGCAAGGUGCGAGGAAGGCGGGGAUGACGUCAAAUCAGCACGGCCCUUACGUCCGGGGCUACACACGUGUUACAAUGGCCGGCACAGCGAGCCGGUCGGCGGCGACGCCGAUCCAAUCCUGAAAACCGGCCUCAGUUCGGACUGGGGUCUGCAACCCGACCCCACGAAGCUGGAUUCGCUAGUAAUCGCGCAUCAGCCAUGGCGCGGUGAAUACGUUCCCGGGCCUUGUACACACCGCCCGUCACACCAUGAGAGCCGGGGGGACCCGAAGUCGGUAGUCUAACCGCAAGGAGGACGCCGCCGAAGGUAAAACUGGUGAUUGGGGUGAAGUCGUAACAAGGUAGCCGUAGGAGAACCUGCGGCUG
rnacentral:rRNA from 1 species